UUAGUGGCGGACGGGUGAGUAACGCGUGGAUAACCUGCCGUAUACAGGGGGAUAACACUUAGAAAUAGGUGCUAAUACCGCAUAAGCGCACGGUUCCGCAUGGAACAGUGUGAAAAACUCCGGUGGUAUACGAUGGAUCCGCGUCUGAUUAGCCAGUUGGCGGGGUAACGGCCACCAAAGCGACGAUCAGUAGCCGGCCUGAGAGGGUGAACGGCCACAUUGGGACUGAGACACGGCCCAAACUCCUACGGGAGGCAGCAG
rnacentral:rRNA from 1 species